AUGAAAAUAACACAGAUUGCAUUCAACAUAAGGGUACUUAUUGAACAAGGUAUCCUUAAAAGCUCAAACUUAAAGAACUCCAAUCGAUAUGUAAAUGAUUGCAACAUUAAAAUGUUGAAUGCUAUACUGUUGGCUGGGGAGACGGAAGGACAAGAACAUCCAUCUUCACAUCUUAAUCCAUUCUCCAAAAAUGUUAAAGAUUUUGUAAGGACUGAUAUGCGAAGCUGA